CACAAAGAUAAACAGAACAAAUUUCCUAUGCUCACAGUCGGCCAGAAUGAUGAGCGUUAUCAAAAUCAUAGUUGCACUGAUGGCAUACAAAACUCGACGUGGAUAACUGCGUUCGGCAAACAGACGGCGCUCUAAAUAGGAGCAAGUGAAAACACAAAUAAACUUGGAGAGCAGCGAGCCCAGAAAUGGGGCCGACGAUAAGAAGCCAAUCUGGAAGAGGCAUAAAAUUGAUGGAUUUCAAAGCUGGCGCAUUUUUAUGGACCGAGCGAGUUAACUUGGAUAUUACCUGGAAAGACAUUAUAGUUAAGCCCAAA